GUACUCACGUUGGUAGCACAUAUACUAAAAUUGGAAUGAUACAGAGAAGAUUAGCAUGGCCCCUGCGCAAGGAUGACACAAUAAUCAUCCUGAUUAUCAAUCAGCCU